ACAGGGAUAGCUGGGUCAAAUGGUGGUUCCAUUCCCAGAUUUCCAAGGAAUCUCCAUACUGCUUUCCAAAUUGGCUGCACCAAUUUUCAGUCCUACCAGCAAU
rnacentral:pre_miRNA from 1 species